AGGACGUGCUAAUCUGCGAUAAGCGUCGGUAAGGUGAUAUGAACCGUUAUAACCGGCGAUUUCCGAAUGGGGAAACCCAGUGUGAUUCGUCACACUAUCAUUAACUGAAUCCAUAGGUUAAUGAGGCGAACCGGGGGAACUGAAACAUCUAAGUACCCCGAGGAAAAGAAAUCAACCGAGAUUCCCCCAGUAGCGGCGAGCGAACGGGGAGGAGCCCAGAGCCUGAAUCAGUGUGUGUGUUAGUGGAAGCGUCUGGAAAGGCGCGCGAUACAGGGUGACAGCCCCGUACACAAAAAUGCACAUGCUGUGAGCUCGAUGAGUAGGGCGGGACACGUGGUAUCCUGUCUGAAUAUGGGGGGACCAUCCUCCAAGGCUAAAUACUCCUGACUGACCGAUAGUGAACCAGUACCGUGAGGGAAAGGCGAAAAGAACCCCGGCGAGGGGAGUGAAAAAGAACCUGAAACCGUGUACGUACAAGCAGUGGGAGCCUCUUUAUGGGGUGACUGCGUACCUUUUGUAUAAUGGGUCAGCGACUUAUAUUCUGUAGCAAGGUUAACCGAAUAGGGGAGCCGAAGGGAAACCGAGUCUUAACUGGGCGUUAAGUUGCAGGGUAUAGACCCGAAACCCGGUGAUCUAGCCAUGGGCAGGUUGAAGGUUGGGUAACACUAACUGGAGGACCGAACCGACUAAUGUUGAAAAAUUAGCGGAUGACUUGUGGCUGGGGGUGAAAGGCCAAUCAAACCGGGAGAUAGCUGGUUCUCCCCGAAAGCUAUUUAGGUAGCGCCUCGUGAAUUCAUCUCCGGGGGUAGAGCACUGUUUCGGCAAGGGGGUCAUCCCGACUUACCAACCCGAUGCAAACUGCGAAUACCGGAGAAUGUUAUCACGGGAGACACACGGCGGGUGCUAACGUCCGUCGUGAAGAGGGAAACAACCCAGACCGCCAGCUAAGGUCCCAAAGUCAUGGUUAAGUGGGAAACGAUGUGGGAAGGCCCAGACAGCCAGGAUGUUGGCUUAGAAGCAGCCAUCAUUUAAAGAAAGCGUAAUAGCUCACUGGUCGAGUCGGCCUGCGCGGAAGAUGUAACGGGGCUAAACCAUG
rnacentral:rRNA from 1 species